GUUUGCACUGAGCAUGCACGCUUUGCACACAGCACAGAGUAUGAGUAUGAAGUGUAGACACGAAGUCAACAGGCGGAGAGAGACGGAGCUAAAGAGACAAACGAAAGUCUCCCGAAAGCUAAAACGAGGAAAUAUGACGAAGCGUACGUAGCGCUCGUCCAGCAUGAAG